rnacentral:rRNA from 1 species
GUGGGGAAUUUUGGACAAUGGGCGCAAGCCUGAUCCAGCCAUUCCGCGUGCAGGAUGUAGGCCUUCGGGUUGUAAACUGCUUUUGUACGGAACGAAAAGCCUCUGGUUAAUACCCGGGGGUCAUGACGGUACCGUAAGAAUAAGCACCGGCUAACUACGUGCCAGCAGCCGCGGUAAUACGUAGGGUGCGAGCGUUAAUCGGAAUUACUGGGCGUAAAGCGUGCGCAGGCGGUGAUGUAAGACAGUUGUGAAAUCCCCGGGCUCAACCUGGGAACUGCAUCUGUGACUGCAUUGCUGGAGUGCGGCAGAGGGGGAUGGAAUUCCGCGUGUAGCAGUGAAAUGCGUAGAUAUGCGGAGGAACACCGAUGGCGAAGGCAAUCCCCUGGGCCUGCACUGACGCUCAUGCACGAAAGCGUGGGGAGCAAACAGGAUUAGAUACCCUGGUAGUCC